rnacentral:rRNA from 1 species
CUACACAUGCAAGUCGAGCGCGAAAGGGGGCUUCGGCCCCUGAGUAGAGCGGCGGACGGGUGAGUAACACGUGGGUAACCUACCCUCGGGUGGGGAAUAACCUAGGGAAACCUGGGCUAAUACCGCAUCAUAUUCCGGGCUCUCAAGAAUCCGGGAUCAAAGCUGGGGACCCUUCGGGGCCUAGCGCCUGAGGAGGGGCUCGCGGCCGAUUAGCUUGUUGGUGGGGUAAUGGCUUACCAAGGCAACGAUCGGUAGCCGGCCUGAGAGGGCGGACGGUCACACUGGGACUGAGACACGGCCCAGACUCCUACGGGAGGCAGCAGUGGGGAAUUUUUGUCAAUGGGGGAAACCCUGAACAAGCAACGCCGCGUGGAGGAUGAAGGCCCUCGGGUCGUAAACUCCUGUCGGAGGGGACGAAAGCGGCUGGGGCGAAUAACCUCAGUCGUUGACGGUACCCUAGGAGGAAGCCCCGGCUAACUCCGUGCCAGCAGCCGCGGUAAUACGGGGGGGGCAAGCGUUGUUCGGAAUUACUGGGCGUAAAGGGCGCGCAGGCGGCCUGGCAAGUCCUUCGUGAAAUCCCACGGCUCAACUGUGGAACUGCGGCGGAUACUGCCGGGCUUGAGUCCGGGAGAGGGGAGUGGAAUUCCCAGUGUAGCGGUGAAAUGCGUAGAUAUUGGGAGGAACACCGGUGGCGAAAGCGGCUCUCUGGACCGGUACUGACGCUGAGGCGCGAAAGCUAGGGGGAGCAAACGGGAUUAGAUAU